rnacentral:rRNA from 1 species
UACAGAGGGGGCAAGCGUUGUUUGGAAUUACUGGGCGUAAAGGGCGCGUAGGCGGCCUGUUAAGUCGAACGUGAAAUCCCCGGGCUCAACCCGGGAACUGCGUCCGAUACUGGCAGGCUUGAAUCCGGGAGAGGGAUGCGGAAUUCCAGGUGUAGCGGUGAAAUGCGUAGAUAUCGUAAGGAAGACCAGUGGCGAAGGCGGGUCUCUGGACAGUUCCUGACGCUGAGGCACGAAGGCCAGGGGAGCAAACGGG